UGAGCAAUCUGCCCUUCUCAUCGGAAUAAACGUUGGAAACGACGUCUAAUGCCGAAUACGACCUCCUUUCGCAUGAUCGGAGGUGGAAAGCUCCGGCGGAGAAGGAUGAGCUCGCGGCCUAUCAGCUUGUUGGUGAGGUAAUGGCUCACCAAGGCAUUGACGGGUAGCCGGCCUGUGAGGGUGACCGGCCACACUGGGACUGAGACACGGCCCAGACUCCGUAGGAAG
rnacentral:rRNA from 1 species